GAUGAACGCUGGCGGCGUGCUUAACACAUGCAAGUCGAACGAAGCAUUUAAGACAGAUUACUUCGGUUUGAGGUCUUUUAUGACUGAGUGGCGGACGGGUGAGUAACGCGUGGGUAACCUGCCUCAUACAGGGGGAUAGCAGCUGGAAACGGCUGGUAAUACCGCAUAAGCGCACAGUACCACAUGGUACAGUGUGAAAAACUCCGGUGGUAUGAGAUGGACCCGCGUCUGAUUAGCUUGUUGGCGGGGUAACGGCCCACCAAGGCGACGAUCAGUAGCCGACCUGAGAGGGUGACCGGCCACAUUGGGACUGAGACACGGCCCAGACUCCUACGGGAAGCAGCAGUGGGGAAUAUUGCACAAUGGAGGAAACUCUGAUGCAGCGACGCCGCGUGAGUGAAGAAGUAGUUCGCUAUGUAAAGCUCUAUCAGCAGGGAAGAUAGUGACGGUACCUGACUAAGAAGCGCCGGCUAAAUACGUG
rnacentral:rRNA from 1 species